rnacentral:rRNA from 1 species
GAUGAACGCUGGCGGCGUGCCUAAUACAUGCAAGUCGAGCGAACAGACGAGGAGCUUGCUCCUCUGACGUUAGCGGCGGACGGGUGAGUAACACGUGGAUAACCUACCUAUAAGACUGGGAUAACUUCGGGAAACCGGAGCUAAUACCGGAUAAUAUAUUGAACCGCAUGGUUCAAUAGUGAAAGACGGUUUUGCUGUCACUUAUAGAUGGAUCCGCGCCGCAUUAGCUAGUUGGUAAGGUAACGGCUUACCAAGGCGACGAUGCGUAGCCGACCUGAGAGGGUGAUCGGCCACACUGGAACUGAGACACGGUCCAGACUCCUAGGGGAGGCAGCAGUAGGGAAUCUUCCGCAAUGGGCGAAAGCCUGACGGAGCAACGCCGCGUGAGUGAUGAAGGUCUUCGGAUCGUAAAACUCUGUUAUUAGGGAAGAACAAAUGUGUAAGUAACUAUGCACGUCUUGACGGUACCUAAUCAGAAAGCCACGGCUAACUACGUG